GUAGAUCGUCUGUCGUGUCGACACUUACUAAGCAUUGAUCGCUGCCCUGUGCUGUGCAGUCGUAUCUGCUUAGUAAGGAGGCGUCACGCAUUUCACAGAUUUGUUUAACGAUGUUAAACUGGCCAGCAUGUAGCGUGCGCCGACUCCCGCUCGCCCGGACGGCCGGCCGCGUCGGUGAGGCUCGCGCACAUUCCCUGCUAGGCCUUGCAAUACGCGUGUUGUUGUUAGUAGCUAAACACCGGGUUUAGAAGUCGUGAACACUUCCAUAUGUAGGCGCUGACCAAAAUCAGAUGCCAGUUUUUUGCGAGGAACGCAUCGCAUAUUGACGAAACUUAAAUUCUAAGAUGCAGUGUCACAAUGUCAACUGAUUGGAAAACCGUCCAUGUAUGUAGUAGCGAUAUCGACAGUUCGCGGAUACCUGCAAAUGACAUCGAGCCAGCGAUAUCAAUUACACAGGUGUUCAUUACGGAAGUCAACAUUAGAGCAAUCACAGAGACUAUAUCAACAGAACUUGAUCUUCGUGGAUAUUAAAUUCAAUUUCAUUAGGUAGACAAUCGGUUAUAAGCGUCAUUAAAAAAACGGUUUAUGUGGUUGCCUAUACUCAUCAACGACAGAUACGAGAGCGAAAGCAAUGAAGGAUAUGAUAAAAAUAAGCAAAAGCAGUAAAAUAAGCAUAGUAGUCUAUAUGACUCAUUAUACAUGGAAUAGUCGACAACUGAAAUCUCUUCGAAAUUACUCUACUCGCACAAAUUGCGCGGGGACCGAGUGAAUUGCAUCCGCCCAAGAACAAUGACGCUUUUGCCUCGAGGACAAAAGAAAAAAAUCCUCAUCAUUUUACCCUUCGUUAUAGAGACCACGUAGCAAAACGAGAAUCAGAAACGUAAAUUCAGUAAGAUAAUGUACUUUAGGCCGAAGUCCCUUUUACGGGAAACAAAUGAAAAAUGUCCAACUGACAGAAUGUACCUACUGGAAUUUUUCAAACAGAAGACUGAAGCAAUUAUGAGCACAAAUGUUUCGAAACGUUAAGAAGACGGGGAUUGAUGACCUAAUUUCAUUUAGACGCAGGACUCCUGUGUCUAAAACAUACAAAAUGACUAAUGUGACAGGAAUCAUUUUGUAUGUUACUAAAUUACUAAUUUUAUUCAUAUUCUUUAUCAUGUCAUUGUUUUAAUUUUAAUAAUUAACUUUUACAGUUCUUAAUUAUUUGUAGUGGUAGUGGUAGCCCUAUUUUAUUAUUUUUUAUUUAUAUAUUUUAGCAGCUUAUUUAGCUGAGUAUGUGUUUUGUGGUUUGCAGAUUUUAUGUUUUCUGUUAUUAUAACUGUGAAACCUAUGAAAUAUUAGUAUUUCGAUUUUAUAUGAUCCAGUUUUUGUUAUUUUCAAGGUAGUCAUAUAAUAAAAUAUGUAAGCAAGUAUGGUAUACAUGUACUUAUUAUAUUCACGGUUCUAUAGCCGUGAAUUAAUGUUUUUAUAUCAGUUGAAUUGACGUACCAGUUUAAUUCCAAAUCUAUGUUCAAAAUGCGUGCCCCUUUGAUUCGUUUAAAAUUAUUGUUUCUAAUUUCACUUCGUCAAACCUUAUUGGCCUAAACUUACAACGCUCAAUUAUUAUCUAGUCUAAUAGAUUCUUCUGCAUUUUUAAAAUUUAGCCUUAUAAUUGUUAACUACAAUUUUAGAAUCUCAACUGUAAGACAUCCAAAAAUCGUUUGUAAUUUAUUUCGUUAGACUUAACAGUAACCGAGUUUAAUAAUAUUCGAGACAAUAUUCUCAUAUCAAAUGUAUGUAUGUAAAAAAAUAUAAUUUCGAAAUGUACUACAACAGGUUAAAAUCUCAAGUCGGAUACC